GACGGGGGCCCGCACAAGCGGAGGAACAUGUGGUUUAAUUCGAUGAUACGCGAGGAACCUUACCCGGGCUUGAACUGCAGGAGAAGGAUACAGAGAUGUUGACGCCCUUCGGGGCUCCUGUGGAGGUGCUGCAUGGUUGUCGUCAGCUCGUGCCGUGAGGUGUCGGCUUAAGUGCCAUAACGAGCGCAACCCUUUUCGUCAGUUGCCAUCAGGUGAUGCUGGGCACUCUGGCGACACUGCCACCGUAAGGUGUGAGGAAGGUGGGGAUGACGUCAAAUCAGCACGGCCCUUACGUCCGGGGCUACACACGUGUUACAAUGGGGCAUACAGAAGGCCGGUGCAUGGCAAUGUGCAUCCAAUCUUAAAAGUGCUCCUCAGUUCGGAUUGGGGUCUGCAACCCGACCCCAUGAAGCUGGAUUCGCUAGUAAUCGCGCAUCAGCCAUGGCGCGGUGAAUACGUUCCCGGGCCUUGUACACACCGCCCGUCAAGCCAUGAAAGCCGGGGGCGCCUGAAGUCCGUGACCGCGAGGGUCGGCCUAGGGUGAAACCGGUGAUUGG
rnacentral:rRNA from 1 species